GGCUCGUUGGUCUAGGGGUAUGAUCCUCGCUUUGGGUGCGAGGGGUCCGGGUUCAAAUCCCGGACGAGCCC
rnacentral:tRNA from 1 species